AACUAGCCCCGAUUGCAGGGAAAAUCCUUUUUGUAAGCCGGUAGGCGAACAAAAAGAUUGCACUGAAAAGCGGGACGAAAG
rfam:Flavobacterium micromati strain DSM 17659 genome assembly, contig: Ga0131131_108